GACGAACGCUGGCGGCGUGCUUAACACAUGCAAGUCGAACGGAAAGGCCCUGCUUUUGUGGGGUGCUCGAGUUGCGAACGGGUGAGUAACACGUGAGUAACCUGCCCUUGACUUUGGGAUAACUUCAGGAAACUGGGGCUAAUACCGGAUAGGAGCUCCUGCUGCAUGGUGGGGGUUGGAAAGUUUCGGUGGUUGGGGAUGGACUCGCGGCUUAUCAGCUUGUUGGUGGGGUAGUGGCUUACCAAGGCUUUGAACGGUAGCCGGCCUGAGAGGGUGACCGGCCACACUGGGACGGAGCUGCGACACGGACUCCUACGCGAGGCAGCAGUGCGGAAUAUUGCACAAUGGGCGGAAGCCUGAUGCAGCAACGCCGCGUGCGGGAUGUGGGCCUUCGGGUUGUAAACCGCUUUCGCCUGUGACGAAGCGUGAGUGACGGUAAUGGGUAAAGAAGCACCGGCUAACUACGUG
rnacentral:rRNA from 1 species